rnacentral:rRNA from 1 species
CCUACGGGUGGCAGCAGUCGAGAAUCAUUCACAAUGGGGGAAACCCUGAUGGUGCGACGCCGCGUGGGGGAAUGCAGGUCUUCGGAUUGUAAACCCCUGUCAUGUGGGCGCAAAUUAAAAAGAUAGUACCACAAGAGGAAGAGACGGCUAACUCUGUGCCAGCAGCCGCGGUAAUACAGAGGUCUCAAGCGUUGUUCGGAAUCACUGGGCGUAAGGCGUGCGUAGGCUGUUUCGUAAGUCGGUUGUGAAAGGCGCGGGCUCAACCCGCGGACGGCACAUGAUACUGCGAGACUAGAGUAAUGGAGGGGGAACCGGAAUUCUCGGUGUAGCAGUGAAAUGCGUAGAUAUCGAGAGGAACACUCGUGGCGAAGGCGGGUUCCUGGACAUUAACUGACGCUGAGGCACGAAGGCCAGGGGAGCGAAAGGGAUUAGAUACCCUUGUAGUC